rnacentral:rRNA from 1 species
AUUGAACGCUGGCGGCAGGCCUAACACAUGCAAGUCGAGCGAGCGGCGGACGGGUGAGUAAUGUCUGGGAAACUGCCUGAUGGAGGGGGAUAACUACUGGAAACGGUAGCUAAUACCGCAUACCAUCAGAUGUGCCCAGAUGGGAUUAGCUAGUAGGUGGGGUAAAGGCUCACCUAGGCGACGAUCCCUACCUGGUCUGAGAGGAUGACCAGCCACACUGGAACUGAGAUACGGUCCAUACUCCUACGGGAGGCAGCAGUGGGGAAUAUUGCACAAUUGGCGCAAGGCUGGUGCAGCCAUGCCGCGUGUGUUAAGAAGGCCUUCGGGUUGUAAAGCACUUUAAGCAGGGAGGCGUUACCCGCAGAAGAAGCACCGGCUAACUCCGUGCCAGCAGCCGCGGUAAUAC